UGCCCGAUAGCUCAGCUGGUGGAUAGCGCGGCACUGUUAAUGCCGAGGUCGCAGGUUCGAGCCCUGCUCGGGCAG
rnacentral:tRNA from 1 species